UUUAAAUCGAAUGAGUUCUGUCCAUGAUAAACUACGUUCACAUGCACAAUUAAAGGCGAUUUAAAAAUUAAAGUGAUUUAAUCAAGUAACAUGUAACAAAAUAAAAUAAACUGGUUUUAAUUUUAGGAUUCUCAAAUAUGUGGUUUACAAAAUUAAAUCGGUUGUAUUUUUGUCACAGAUAUAGAUAAUAAACUAGAUUGCUAACUAUAACAGUAAUUCAAGCAGACCGGACGAUGCCGCUUUUCCACCAUAUUUGUUGAAGGCUAUGGUAUUUUAUCAUUUUUUAUAUCGUUAUGAUUAUACACAGAUAAAUUUUAUCAUAAUUCAUGAACUCAGAAAUAUUUUCAAUAAUAACUAAUGUAAUUAUUUAUAUAUUAUAUUAUAUUUAUUAUUUAGAAUAUCUGGCCG